GACGCCAGGUGGCGCUGGAAAACACGUGAUCGAUGAUGAAAACGGCUUUCCCGCCUUCUCCUCCUCAUGAGUCGGAGGAUUUCCGGGUCUUCAACCAAACUUCCUCCGCAGCCUUUAAGCCCCGCCCACCCACUGACCACCGAGCAGGUGCAGCAGGAGCAGGUUGAGUGAUUGUGGUCAGCUGUGAGGGAGGAACUGCAGGUUCAGCCAGGAGGACAGCAGGAGCUGGAGAAAGUUGACGCCCAGGAUUGAACCUUAUUGUUCUCCACAUGCGACUUCUGUCUGCUCAGAUGAAAAGUUACCUGCUGACAUGAAGACGUUUCUGCUCAUUAGAGUCAUGUCCGUUUGUUGAAGCUGCAGUUUGUUCUCUAAAACACGAGGCUUUCAGAAGCAGUAAGCUUAAGUACGGAAACAAGCAGGCAGUGAGCUGGUGGGGAUGGAAGCAGGACCUGAAACUGAUGCGACAC